rnacentral:piRNA from 1 species
UGCUGCCCUAUGACUAGGACUGCUUC